rnacentral:tRNA from 5 species
CGGGGUGUGGCGCAGCUUGGUAGCGCGCCUCGUUCGGGACGAGGAGGCCGUGGGUUCGAAUCCCGCCACCCCGA